rnacentral:rRNA from 1 species
CUGCUGCCUUCCGUAGGAGUCUGGUCCGUGUCUCAGUACCAGUGUGGGGGGCCUUCCUCUCAGAACCCCUACGCAUCGUCGCCUCGGUGGGCCGUUACCCCGCCGACUAGCUAAUGCGCCGCAUGCCCAUCCGUGGCCGGGAUUGCUCCCUUUGGCGGCCUUGGGAUGCCCCAAGGCCGCGUUACGCGGUAUUAGACGGGGUUUCCCCGCUUAUCCCCCUGCCACGGGCAGGUUGCAUACGUGUUACUCACCCGUGCGCCGGUCGCCGGCGGGAGUA